rnacentral:rRNA from 1 species
GGGUCAGUAGGUUGGUCGUGCCACCGGUACGUACUGGUCUCACUGAUUCCUCCUUCCUGAAGAACCGUAAUGCCAUUAAUUUGGUGUUGCGGGGAAACAGGACUGUUACUUUGAAAAAAUUAGAGUGUUUAAAGCAAGCUAACGCUUGAAUACAUUAGCAUGGAAUAAUGAAAUAGGACGAUCGAUCCUACUCUGUUGGUUUCUAGGAUUGACGUA